UACGGAGGGGGCGAGCGUUAUUCGGAAUUAUUGGGCGUAAAGGGUGCGUAGGUGGCGCUGUAAGUCGGGUGUGAAAUUUCGGAGCUUAACUCCGAAACUGCAUUCGAUACUGCGGUGCUUGAGGACUGGAGAGGAGACUGGAAUUCAUGGUGUAGCAGUGAAAUGCGUAGAGAUCAUGAGGAAGACCAGUGGCGAAGGCGGGUCUCUGGACAGUUCCUGACACUGAGGCACGAAGGCCAGGGGAGCAAACGGG
rnacentral:rRNA from 1 species